AGAGGCUGGGGAGGCGUCCGAGCCUCCGUCCCGCCUCGUCGUUGAAGAAGGUUAAGGACAAGCGCCAGCUCACCUGCGCUGGGGCAGGGAAGGGCAGAGUGGCCGAGCCCGGGAGGGCGCGACAGGGGCGAGGCGACCCCAGUCCAGAGGCUGACUUCCUCACCGCCCUGGGUCCCGUAAGUGGGAGCGCCGGUCCGGUGCAAGCUCACGGCCUAUCCGUGAAUCUCCUCGGCUUCAGCGGGGACCCAGGACCCCGCUCCCUACCCGCCCGACCCUCCGUGGCCCGCGGGGACGCUCAGCGCCCGGGCCGUGCGCGCGGAAAGAGCCGCACCGGAGGAGGCGCAGGCGGCCGGGUCCCUACCCCGGACCCGCGGGCGGCGCCCCCGCCCCCACCCCCACCCGCCCCGCGCCCCGGGAGCGCAGGCAGGCGGCGGUAGGGGGCGGGGAGCGGCCACGGUGGCCGCCGCCGGACCCCAGUCGCGCGGCCCUCGCGCCACGCCCCACCUCGGCCCGGACCCACCUGCGCUCCUGCCCCGGCCGCGGCCUGGCCCGGGGCUGCACCAGCCCGACGCAGUGGUGGCGGCAGCAGCGGUGGCGGGAGGCCUGGCUCACUCCCCACCGCUGAGUCGGACCGAGCACCCAGCGCGGCGCGGCGGCGCCCAACGCUCGCCCCGAAACCCAUUUGUUUGGCUAAAACGGAGUGACGUCACGCGCCGGCCCAAUCGACGGUUGGCCGGGGGAGGGGCCACGGAUCCAGAGUUUCACGGCGCCCCCUGCCGGACACUGGGGGCGGGAAGGGGGAAGUGAAAAGGGAGACCUGGAUGACGCGUCUGCGGCCCCCAAGUGGUAGAGAAUGAAAGUUUGAGCACGACUGUAGGGAAAGGAAUCAAACCUCCCAGGCCAGCCAAGAAGGAAUCCUGAUCUGGGCUACCCUAUCUGUGCUUCUGGUGAGGUGGGCCCAGAACCAUCGUGUGAAUAAUGAUUGACCUCAGCUAGUGGUUCUCAUGGAGUGAUUGAUUUUGCUUCCCAGAGGACAUCAGCAAUGUCUGGAGACAUUUCCAGUUGUCACUACUUGAGAGGAAGCGUGAUCGGCCUCUAGAAGGGAGAGACCAGGGAUGCCGCUGCUCAAUAUCCUAUAAUGCACAGAACAGCUUCUACGACAAAGAGUUAUUCCACCAAAAAUGUCAGUAGUGCCAAGGUUGAGAGAACCUGCUCUAGGGUAAUCAGUGUGGUCCCAAUCUCCCUGUCAGUAACUGAUUCAACUCACAUAAUAAUCUUAUGGGAGUGUGAUGUAAUUCUAGCC
rnacentral:lncRNA from 1 species